UACAAUGCCCAAAAGAAAUUCGAAUUUAUUAACCAAGAUAAUUCAAAGACAAAAAACCAAAAUUCGGAUUUAUUGACCAAGAUAAUUCGAAGAAAAAGAAAUGAAAUCUCAGUCAAGAGAAAGCAAACCAAAGCAAAAGUGAGUUAUUGACGUCUCUGCUAUGAGAUUCAUACAAAAAAGUUCUAAAUUUUUAAUCUCCUUUUGCCUGAAUAUGGCAGCACCCAAAUUUGACGGAGCAGACAAUGGUCCUUAGAGGCCUCUACUCGUUUUAUAAUCUCUAAUAGCAGCUCCGGCAAAAUAUUCGCCCACGACGAUGUCGCAUUACCGGAAUCCAAUUUGACGGCACCAUUAUUUUCAGCUGCUAAUUUGUUCUAAUCGCUAAGAACAUCGAAUUUGCUGCUUAAGAUAAUUUAUCAUAGAUCUGAGGUAGGAAAUAAGAAUAAGUAGGCAUAACUGAACAUAAAAUUUAACUAUAACAAUGAUUGAAUCCAAAUUGUAUAAGAAAAUGAUGAUUGUUUUGAUGAUAUCUAAAUUAUAAUGAAGAGUACAUAGAUAAAAAGGGUCACCUUUUUAAAUAAGAUUGAUCCCAUGUAUUUGAUACAAUGCCAUUAAAGAUAGAUACUAAGAAUCUAAGCUUUCUUUCUCCUUUCUUCUUGACCAGGAGCGAGAGAUGAAUUAUCUCCUUUCUCCCUUAAGAUAUGUCUACCUGUAUACAUGAGUUUACU
rnacentral:lncRNA from 1 species